AAAAAUAGUUGUAAACAUUUCUUCAUCUGUACUCCCGUUUUCUUACUGCUAGGGAUAUUAAAUCAACGAACUCGCGUUAAAUGUCUUCGGGUGCGGAAUGCCAGAGAAAAAUAGAAUCGACCAUCUUAUAUUUCUGCCUGACGAUAACGUAAUAGAAGAAAUGGGAAAUCGUGGGGUAAUUAAUCCAUGAAGGACUUGGUCCAGAGAAGCCUGAAAGCCAUCUGAAAUGCGGGAUUCACUAAUGGAAGAAAUCAUUCGGAGACUAACCGUUACCAUCCAAGAAGAUUUCAUUAGGCGUUAUUUGCA